rnacentral:lncRNA from 1 species
AUUAAAAACUCAAAAUUUCUGUUAAUUGUAAUUUGUCGCUUAUCGCUAUUCAUUUGUUUCCUUUUUUCCCUUUCCCUGACAGAGCCUGACGCCUGACUGAGUUAGUCUAUCAGUCUAUCUACUGUUUAUUGGAAAUUACAUGCAAUUCUGCACCUGAAUAACUCAAAGUUUAAGGACUUAUUUAGUUUGUCUAGCAUUUUUUCAUUGGAAUUGUCACAUCCUAAAGUGAGUCAACUUCAUUUCACUUGCAACUGUUGCAAGCUGCACCUGAAUAACUGACGUCACAUCCUAAGUGAGUCAAGUAGUCAACUUCAUUUCACUCGCAAGCUGCACAUGAAUAACUUUGAGUGUGACUCUGACGGCCUGAUUAAGUCAGUCCAUCUACUUUUGAUUGACAAUUGUCACAUCAACUUCAUUUCACUCGCAAGCUGCACCUGAAUAACUCUGAGUCUGACUCUGAGACUGACGUAAGACGCAACAAAAGCGCAUACAACAAGAACGCCAACCGUCACCAUCCAAAACAACUUGACCAACAAAUUCCACUUUUAAAAAACUACGAUUUCAUUCAAUAACCAAAAAAAUCACUUACUGAACACAAACAUACCAUGAUGGAAUACAACCGACAAAACUCCACCGUACGUACAUCACACACAACCAACGACGAAACAAUGACAAACACAGGGAUGCCAAUUUAAAUAAAUUUUCACUAAAAAAAUUUUUUACGCUUUGAAACUAUUGAAAAGUACACGGAACAGUCCAUACUUCUUUAAA